UUAUUGUGUGCGUUGUAUGAAACCAGAUUACAUGGUUAUCAUUCUUCUCGGAUUUGUUUAAAUACCCAAUUUUUUGCUACUGCUUAAUUGCCAGCUAGGAAGAUCCAUAAAGAAAAAAACACACAAUAAUCCAACAUGGAAGGGACACAACCUCAUCAGGAGACCACCAGCAAUGGGACGGGUGAUGGAGAAACAAAUAGUGAAAAUGUUGUGUCAUCAGAAACCUUAGAUACGUACACCAACGUAGUGGACGAAAUUGUGAGUGUAAACUCGUUGUUCACCUUAGGAGUAUUCAUCGGAUUAUCGUUUGCCUCGCGUGACCAGACCAGCCUGGAGUGCCGGCCAGGGUGUACCGCCGGUGUUGGGUCGGCCAGGAGGCUGGUGGUGUUUGAAGUAUUGUCAUUCAGUCUCUUCAUUUACUCAAGCCUGGUGGCCAAGUGCGCCAAUUUUCUUCUCAGCCUUUACCGAGAUGAGGAAUUGCGGAUACAAUAUUAUCUUAUAUUGUUCAGAAAAUUGAUAUUGGACUAUUCGGGUGCCGUUUGAGGCAAAAUGAUGAGCACGACGAGCUCUACGUACUAGUACCAGAAAUUCCAACUUUUGGUCCUCUUUGGGAGCUCGAAUUUAAGAACCCAUUUCUAGGGAUUUUGCUCAUUUUGAGGUCUUAGAAAUGAACUAGUGGAUGACAAUCCACCUCAAGCUUGAAAGUUGUUAGAAGAUUGUUUGCUAUUUUGUAUUUUGACCGUUCUAUGUAUAUUCGUAGUUGUGGAAAUGUAACUAAGUUAGUAUUUAUGGCCUUGUAACUUAAGAACGAACUUAUCUUUUGUUUGAUAUAAAUGAAACUAAUGGAAUUAUGGUAUAUGUUUUCAUGCAAUUGUAUCAUGUAACGUUGUAAGACAGGGAUUUUAAAUCUUAACCAUGUAUUUUGGGACUAUAAUUAUGAUAAUUUAGAUUAAUUGGUGUGUGUGGAUGUUCCACCAUGAGAGGAACUAUGUUGAGGUAUAAUGAACGGAUGAAUGGGAUGCUGGAUGAUAUUAUGUGUUUUGUGUAUUGGGACAGAUUGUUGAAGGCCCAUUUUUAGUGGAGGUUAUGCCGAAUUUUUUUAAAUUUUGGCAUCAGCUAGGGUCAUUACAUUUGUUGACAAGCCAAAACAAUUAAAUUGAGUCAACACGGCAUAAAAUAUAGAGUUUUCAUACGAAAUUGCCUAUAUAUAAUUUAUGUGUUUACCUUGUUUAAGGGACAAUGAAAACCUGUAAGCAGACACAGUCUUCGACAUUACUCAUUAUUUCCAGAAGCCGAUGACGAAGAGAUUCUUGAUAUAGUCAAGGAAUGGCCUUAUUUCACAAGUUUUGAACUUCAGUUAUUCGUUUGCAUGCCGUUUUUAACAGAAAUACACGGCAAGUUAUAUGUGUGUGUGCAUAUAAUAAACGUAAAUAUAUAAAAAAAAGUAAAGCAUUAUCAGACGUUUAAGAGACGUUUUCUUCCACAAUGACUUUGUCCACAACUAAAAUAAUUCAAUGUAAAAUAGUCAUUGGUUGAUUUUGCAAUUGUUGAAAAUUAUAAUAGUCAAUCUUAACCAUGUGGUCAAGAGUACUGAAUGUUGGGAAAAAAAAAAAAAAAAAAUCAAUAAUGCCUAGUAUAGCUUCUUCUUCUUUUUUUUUCUUUUUUUUUUUUUUAACUACUAUUUUUUUUUUUUUUUUUAACUACUCCUAGUAUUGUGAUGAUGAAACUUCAAUUUUCUCGUUUCACAAUUAAUUUUAGUUGCUAUAUUUGAAAUUCUUCAAAUUGUUCCUUUCUUGAUGAGCUAUCAUUAAACUCGUAAGUGAUUAAAAAAAAAAAAAAGAAAAAAAAAAGAA